rnacentral:tRNA from 3 species
CGGGGCAUGGCGCAGCCUGGUAGCGCAUCUGCUUUGGGAGCAGAGGGUCGGGGGUUCAAAUCCCUCUGCCCCGACCA